rnacentral:rRNA from 1 species
GACGAACGCUGGCGGCGCGCUUAACACAUGCAAGUCGAACGGUAAGGCCCUUCGGGGUACACGAGUGGCGAACGGGUGAGUAACACGUGGGUGAUCUGCCCUGCACUUCGGGAUAAGCCUGGGAAACUGGGUCUAAUACCGGAUAGGACCACUGCCUGCAUGGGUGGUGGUGGAAAGCUUUUGCGGUGUGGGAUGGGCCCGCGGCCUAUCAGCUUGUUGGUGGGGUGAUGGCCUACCAAGGCGACGACGGGUAGCCGGCCUGAGAGGGUGACCGGCCACACUGGGACGGAGAUACGGCCCAGACUCCGACGGAAGGCAGCAGUGGUGAAUAUUGCACAAUGGGCGCAAGCCUGAUGCAGCGACGCCGCGUGAGGGAUGACGGCCUUCGGGUUGUAAACCUCUUUCAGUAGGGACGAAGCGCAAGUGACGGUACCUACAGAAGAAGGACCGGCCAACUACGUGCCAGCCGCCGCCGUAA